CUCCUCAGAAACAAUCGGCCUGGAAGGUUAUAUUUAAAAAGAAAGUUUCUCUUUUGAAUAUUGCCACAAGAAUAAUGGGCGGUUGGAAAUCUGGAAGAGAGUAUCCUGAGAAUCUGCCCACCUUGAAGGCUACAAUUGAAAAUAAAGAUUCUGUUCUGAAUACAGCCACCAAAAUGAAGGAUGUACAAACAUCCACACCAGAACAAGACUUAGAAAUGGCA
rnacentral:lncRNA from 1 species